rnacentral:rRNA from 1 species
UCAAUAUAAGUGAUGGCGACCGGCGCACGGGUGAGUAACACGUAUCCAACCUGCCGAUAACUCGGGGAUAGCCUUUCGAAAGAAAGAUUAAUACCCGAUGGUAUAAUAAAACCGCAUGGUUUAAUUAUUAAAGAAUUUCGGUUAUCGAUGGGGAUGCGUUCCAUUAGGCAGUUGGUGAGGUAACGGCUCACCAAACCUUCGAUGGAUAGGGGUUCUGGGAGGAAGGUCCCCCACAUUGGAACUGAGACACGGUCCAA